UUAAUAGCUGUGGACAUUUACGUCCAUAAGAAAUGGUAAGUGGUUGUAUAAGCUUCCCCACAUUGCCCAGCCUACAUGCCUCAAUCCUAACCUAGUGGGACCACAUCUAGGUGUGCGAAAGUAGCUUAGUUUCCAUGUCCAUACAAUUCUAAUGAAUU
rnacentral:sRNA from 1 species